AACUGUCAGGCACCCCGUUAAGUUUGGUCUCCUGGGGAUCCCCUAGCAGGACUAUCAAAGCCAGAAGCCCUUUGCACCGCCCUAGUUACUGACUCUGGGUGCUUUCUAAGAGACAACAGCUGCUCCUCAGCCACAACAGCGGACAGAAACCAGGGCCUGCGGAUGUGGCCGGUGGUCUGCAGGGGGCACCCGAGGCCCUCGGUGCCAGCCAGCGGCCGGGUCGGGGGCGCGCGCACCGCGAGCGCGCAGGAGCCGGAAGGGGCGGGCGGUGGGAUGCGUGCGCGCUUCGCGGUUCUAAAUCCCGGAACCCACCAAAAAGAGCGCAGAGCCGCUCUGCCCUCUUGCUCGCGGUCCCAUCCAGUCCCCAGACCCGGGCUCCGCGCCCUGUGCGGUAGGGAGGGAGUGGCGCGGCCAGCACCGGGCUAGUGCAGCGACAGCCCGCGUGUGCCUUCUGAGUGAGAUUUUCCUGGGAUCCAACCGGCCUGACCCCAUCAGCGCUGAGUUCCAGAAACCUUGCGGUGGGCAGGACCUGGCUCGAUGGUUGAUGUUCAGUUUGCUGCGACUCUGUGCCCGUUAACGCGUAACUGCGCCUGUUUCUUGUCUAUAAAAUGGACGUGAUGGUACAAGUACUGCCCGGUCUGAUUCAUUUCUGAACACUGGCACUCACUGGAUGGUGUUCAUCUUA
rnacentral:lncRNA from 1 species